AUUGAACGCUGGCGGCAGGCCUAACACAUGCAAGUCGAGCGGAGCGGCGGACGGGUGAGUAAUGCCUAUGAAUCUGCCUGGUAGUGGUGGAUAACGUCCGGAAACGGACGCUAAUACCGCAUCCUAUCAGAAGAGCCUAUGCCGGAUUAGCUAGUUGGUGGGGUAAAGGCAUACCAAGGCGACUAUCCGUAACUGUUCUGAGAGGAUGAUCAGUCACACUGGAACUGAGACACGGUCCAGACUCCUACGGGAGGCAGCAGUGGGGAAUAUUGGACAAUGGGCGAAAGCCUGAUCCAGCCAUGCCGCGUGUGUGAAGAAGGUCUUCGGAUUGUAAAGCACUUUAAGUUAGGAGGCGUUACCAACAGAAUAAGCACCGGCUAACUCCGUGCCAGCAGCCGCGGUAAUUC
rnacentral:rRNA from 1 species